rfam:Tupaia chinensis contig100143, whole genome shotgun sequence.
GUGCUUACUUCGGCAGCACAUAUACUAAAAAUUGGAAUGAUACAGAGAAGAUUAGCAUGGCCCCUGCGCACGGAUGACAUGCAAAUUCAUGAACCUUUAAGUUAGU